UAGGGAAUCUUCCGCAAUGGGCGAAAGCCUGACGGAGCAACGCCGCGUGAGUGAUGAAGGUCUUCGGAUCGUAAAACUCUGUUAUUAGGGAAGAACAAAUGUGUAAGUAACUAUGCACGUCUUGACGGUACCUAAUCAGAAAGCCACGGCUAACUACGUGCCAGCAGCCGCGGUAAUACGUAGGUGGCAAGCGUUAUCCGGAAGUAUUGGGCGUAAAGCGCGCGUAGGCGGUUUUUUCAGUCUGAUGUGAAAGCCCACGGCGCAACCGUGGAGGAUCAUUAGAAACUGGAAAUAUUGAGUGUAGAAGAGGAAUGUGGAAUUCCAUGUGUAGCGGUGAAAUGCGCAGAGAUAUGGAGGAACACCAGUUGCGAAGGCGACUUUCUGGUCUGUAACUGACGCUGAUGUGCGAAAGCGGGGGGAUCAAACAGG
rnacentral:rRNA from 1 species